GGGGAAGUUCCUCCCCGUCAAUCGACAAAGGGAUAUCAAACCGGCACAAGCUGCGUUGGUAAAGAGCGCAGGUAAUGAGCGUUGUGUUCAAAAGGCGGAGAUGCCUCCCUUGGGU
rfam:Acidithrix ferrooxidans strain Py-F3 AXFE_contig000072, whole genome shotgun sequence.